AUUGAACGCUGGCGGCAUGCCUUACACAUGCAAGUCGAACGGCAGCACCGGUGCUUGCACCUGCUGGCUAGUGGCGAACGGGUGAGUAAUACAUCGGCACCUUUCCCUUCGUGGGGGAUAGCCCGGCGAAAGCCGGAUUAAUACCGCAUUCGAUCUACGUAUGACAGCGGGGGACCUUCAGACCUCGCCCUUUCAGGUUGGCCGCUGGCGCAUUCGCUUGUUGGUGGGGUAAAGGCCUACCCAGGCGCCGAUCAGUAGCUGGUCGCAGAGGACGACCGGCCACACUGGGGCUGAGACAGGGCCCAGGCGCCUAAGGGAGGCAGCAGUGGGGAAUUUUGGACAACGGGCGAAAGCCUGAUACAGCAAUGCCGCGUGUGUGAAGAAGGCCUUCGGGUUGUAAAGCACUUUUGUCCGGAAAGAAAUCCUUGGCCCUAAUACGGUCGGGGGAUGACGGUACCGGAAGAAUAAGCACCGGCUAACUACGUG
rnacentral:rRNA from 1 species